GUGAACGCUGGCGGCAGGCCUCACACAUGCAAGUCGAACGGCAGCACAAGAGAGCUUGCUCUCUGGGUGGCGAGUGGCGGACGGGUGAGGAAUGCAUCGGAAUCUGCCCAUUUGUGGGGGAUAACCUCGGGAAACCGGGACUAAUACCGCAUACGACCUACGGGUGAAAGCAGGGGAUCUUCGGACCUUGCGCAGAUGGAUGAGCCGAUGCCGGAUUAGCUAGUUGGAGGGGUAAAGGCCCACCAAGGCGACGAUCCGUAGCUGGUCUGAGAGGAUGAUCAGCCACACUGGGACUGAGACACGGCCCAGACUCCUACGGGAGGCAGCAGUGGGGAAUAUUGGACAAUGGGCGCAAGCCUGAUCCAGCCAUGCCGCGUGUGUGAAGAAGGCCUUCGGGUUGUAAAGCACUUUUGUUGGGAAAGAAAAGCAGCCGGUUAAUACCCGGUUGUCAUGACGGUACCCAAAGAAUAAGCACCGGCUAACUUCGUG
rnacentral:rRNA from 1 species